rnacentral:rRNA from 1 species
AUUGAACGCUGGCGGCAUGCCUUACACAUGCAAGUCGAACGGUAACGGGCCUUCGGGUGCCGCCGAGUGGCGAACGGGUGAGUAAUACAUCGGAACGUGCCCGAUCGUGGGGGAUAACGAGGCGAAAGCUUUGCUAAUACCGCAUACGAUCUACGGAUGAAAGCAGGGGACCGCAAGGCCUUGCGCGGACGGAGCGGCCGAUGGCAGAUUAGGUAGGUGGUGGGAUAAAAGCUUACCAAGCCGACGAUCUGUAGCUGGUCUGAGAGGAUGAUCAGCCACACUGGGACUGAGACACGGCCCAGACUCCUACGGGAGGCAGCAGUGGGGAAUUUUGGACAAUGGGCGCAAGCCUGAUCCAGCCAUGCCGCGUGCAGGAUGAAGGCCUUCUGGUUGUAAACUGCUUUUGUACGGAACGAAAAGCCUUCUUUUAAUACAGGAGGGUCAUGACGGUACCGUAAGAAUAAGCACCGGCUAACUACGUG